UGGGGAAUAUUGCGCAAUGGGGGAAACCCUGACGCAGCAACGCCGCGUGCGGGAUGAAGGCCUUCGGGUUGUAAACCGCUUUCAGCAGGGAAGACUACGACGGUACCUGCAGAAGAAGCCCCGGCUAACUACGUGCCAGCAGCCGCGGUAAUACGUAGGGGGCAAGCGUUAUCCGGAUUCAUUGGGCGUAAAGCGCGCGCAGGCGGGCUGCUAAGCGGGACCUCUAAUCCAAGGGCUCAACCUUUGGCCGGGUCCCGAACUGGUAGCCUCGAGUGCGGUAGGGGAGGUCGGAAUUCCCGGUGUAGCGGUGGAAUGCGCAGAUAUCGGGAAGAACACCGAUGGCGAAGGCAGACCUCUGGGCCGUCACUGACGCUGAGGCGCGAAAGCUAGGGGAGCGAACAGG
rnacentral:rRNA from 1 species